CCUACGGGAGGCAGCAGUGAGGAAUAUUGGUCAAUGGCCGGAAGCCUGAACCAGCCAAGUCGCGUGAAGGAAGAAGGCCCUAGGGUUUGUAAACUUCUUUUAUAGGGGGAUAAAGGUCUCCACGUGUGGAUAUUUGCAUGUACCCUAUGAAUAAGCGUCGGCUAACUCCGUGCCAGCCGCCGCGGUAAUACGGAGGGUGCGGGCGUUAUCCGGAUUUAUUGGGUGUAAAGGGUGCGUAGGUUGGUUUUUAAGUCAGCGGUGAAAGUUUGUGGCUUAACCUUAAAAUGGCCUUUGAAACUGGAAGACUUGAGUGUGUUUGAGGGAGGUGGAAUGCGUGGUGUAGCGGUGAAAUGCAUAGAUAUCACGAAGAACACCGAUUGCGAAGGCAGCUUACUGGGC
rnacentral:rRNA from 1 species